UAUUGUUCUUUGAUUCUGUGAAUGUGUAUGGAAUGCCUACAGUACUGUCUGGUGUCACUUCAGACAAUUUUGCAACGGUUUACUGUAUGUUCUGUCUAUUUGUCUGCCAAACUCUCAAACUUGUUGUCUUUCUUUUUGUCUUCCUCUUUGUGCACUGGUAGGCACAGUCAUUCCGGUAGGCACGGAGUCGUUCCUCGAUGGACGUGAUGACCUGGCACCAAAACCGCUUAAUGUGUAUGAAGCUGUGUCUGCAUCGAGGGAAGAACCCAGCACUGAAAUGACACAAAUGAAAGAGGACUUCUGCUCUGCUGGGUCUGCGACACUACUUAUCCUAGGAAUCCUCAAACAUCAGGAUGUAGGAAACUUAUGGUGAGAUGCCAAGAGCCGCCAUGAGGGAUAUGCAACCUGCAGCUUCACCAUGCUUUUGGGAGAUCAUGUACUACGUGAACCUUGAGUAUCUACAAGCCAGCUACUUUAAGUUCUUGAAAGGGUAGUGAUGUCAUUCAAGCCAGAUCACGAGACAAGGUCCUGUACAAACUGUCAAUCUAAAUGUUGCGACAUCCCUGUCAGUUCUUUUGGACUGAAUACAUGCUGUGUUUGAAAUAUAUUAUUCGGAUAACUCCCCAUCAGGGAAUACCUUGUCUGUUAAUAACGGAUGGACAUGCCAUUGACAUGCCGUGCACACUUUGAUGUUUUUUAUUUUAAUGUUUUCUAUGUUUUCCAAUGUUCUUUUUUUAUUUAUGUUCUGUUAUAUGCUGGUUAUGUAAGUACUGUAUGGAAUGUAGUGACUGUAGAGACCAAGACAAAUUUCAACCUGGGGACAAAAAGUUCACACCACUCUGUUAGCGCAGUUAUGGAUGCACUGUAAAUUUUGUAAUUAACCAAAAGUACGGUGAGAAGCCUGUUUGUGCAGAUGGACCUGCUGGCGGGCCUGUUUACUAAAAGCUAAAAAGCAACAUAUUAUCUGUGCAAAAGCACAUGGGCUCUUCGAAAAGGGGUUAAACAUUUUAAUGUGCUGUUUUACAGUGUGCUAUACAAAAGGUAAGGUGAAACUAAUUUUUUGAAAUUCUAUAAUUGUACAGUGUCACUGAAAUCAAAUGGUGCAUUGGUAAAACUGAACCAUUUCCUUUAAUCCCGUUUAGCAGAGCCUAUGUUUGAACUAUACUG